AAUGAACGCUGGCGGCGCGCCUAAUACAUGCAAGUCGAGCGAGAAGACGUAGCAAUACGUUUGUAAAGCGGCGAACGGGUGAGGAAUACAUGGGUAACCUACCCUAGAGUGGGGAAUAACUAGCCGAAAGGUUAGCUAAUACCGCGUACGCUCCUUGGACUUCGGUUCAGGGAGGAAAGCGAUGCCGAGGGUAUCGCGCUCUUGGAUGGGCUCAUGUCCUAUCAGCUUGUUGGGAGGUAACGGCUCACCAAGGCUUCGACGGGUAGCUGGUCUGAGAGGACGAUCAGCCACACUGGCACUGCGAC
rnacentral:rRNA from 1 species